rnacentral:lncRNA from 1 species
GCAAUAUUUGCAGCAUAAUUCUAUAACAGAAGUAGCAGCAAGUGAACUCAAAAUAAGUAGAAACUAGUAAAUGAUAAUUAACGGAACCUUGCAAAUCAUGUCAUUUCAAAACCAAAUGAAUGGUCUAUUGUCAUUACAAGGUCAAAUAGCAGUUUUUCAAAAUUACAUCUAACGUUUAUCCAACUUUAGAACCUAUGAGCAUAACAUUUAACUAAUAUUAACUAGCUUCAACAAAAUUGAAAAAAAACUUCAAGCAUAUUUCGAUGGGAUCAUACACAACUAACAACUCUAACAUCUAAUUAAGAUUAUUGGAAAAUAGAUAAUUCGUUUUGAAUUAGAAAGAAGUUAACAGAAUCAACAUCAAUUUAAAAAAAAGGUCUAACAGAAUUACUAACACAUACAAACAGAACCAACUAAAUGCAACUUAAUGAUUCACAGUGAAUUUCAGAUAUUUGAUAUGAGUUCCAAUUUCAUUUGGAUGAUAAAUCCUAACUAACUAUCAAAUUUGAGAGGAAUUUCAUUGUGAAUUUCCACCUAACUUCUAACCAACUCAGAAUGCUAUGAAAAUUUACCGUACUGAGAUUCUGCAGUUUCUUCAAAAAACUUCAAAAUCUCCAAUACUUUCCUCUUUCAGUCUCGUUUUCUUCACCUUCUCGCAAUCGAUUCAUCAUGCAUUUCCAUUUCAGAUCCUCACGCCGCCAAGCUCACACCGUACAUCGAUCCACAACCUUACAACAAAAGCGGUUCUACUGUCGCCGAUUGUCGUCGCGUCGGAGUUCCAUUCCGGUAAGACGCAACGGUCUCGGCGAUUCCGUCAAGGCUGUGGAUAAGGUUCCUUGUUGUUUGGUUGUGUGUUUC